rnacentral:lncRNA from 1 species
GCAUCCCUGUAUUUUUUUUCAUAUAAUGGCCACAUUUGUGCUCCAGACUCUGCCCUCCGGAAAGGGGGUGCAGAUGUUUGUGACUACUCCAAACUUCCUGUAAUCCAUUGCCAUUUCCAGCCAGGGGAAUCGUGGGUUGGCUGCUGUGAAGAAUCAGUGCCUUGGCUGGCGCAGCCUGCCCAUGCUGCCAUUGCUACACAGCUGCUUCGACCCCUUCUUCUUCAGCUGCUGCUUUUCAUGGACUUUCACAAAAGAAAACUCAAGUGGAAGCUGCUAAAAGGCCCCAACCCAUCACACCACAGGCAUGUUUGGAACAUGAUCCUGAGUUGCAGGAGUUCCUGGAGCCCAAUCAGAAGAGUUCUUUGCAUGGGUAAGGAUCAAACUUCUGGAAAACAGAAUGACAGAGUCUUUUUCAUACCAGAUGAUGCUGUGUAAACACAAGGCUUGGUGGUUCAGCCAUAAGAAGAGUAAGUACUGGGCAACUGGGUAUCCUGCACCUUUGGUACCUCCCUAAAUUCAGGGACAAUGCGAUAAUUAUUUUAAAAAAUUACUUCUUCAUCAUAAUCUGAGCAAUCAUAUCUUAAAAGGCUCAGUGGCACUGAGCUGUUUUUUCUUAGGAAAAGACUCUGCGUUGAAAUGGUUUUGUAAAAAAUGUGUGACCUCUGGACAGCUGGUGUCAAAAAUAGGCUCUGUGAUUCUCCAGUGCAAGAGCAGUGGGGGAAUAUGGCAGGAAAUUGUUGUAUGAGAUAGAAGGCAGUUUGUUUUUUUUCCAAGAGAGUGAUGACAAGGGCUUGAAACUUGUGCUCAUAGUCAAUAUCUCCUUCACUAGCUAAGAGGUAAAGGGGUACAUUUUGGAGAACCUUUCAGACAUAGGUUAUACAAAGACAAGGACUUUCACAGAAUCCAGGAAUGGGUGAAAUUGGAAGGGAUCCCUGGAGGUCAUCCGGUCCAACCCACCUGGGGCUUUCUGGCUCUGUAGGGUCCCCCCAGUUCACCUGAUCCCUCACUAACACAGUGAAUAUGGGGCAGUGGGCACAAACUGGAAUGCAGGAGGUUCUGAACACCAAGAAUCAGCUCUGUACGACGCAGGUGAUGGAGCAAAAGCACAAGCUGCCCAGAGAGGCUGUGGACUCUCCUCAGAGAUCUUCAGAAAUCACCUGGACAUGGUCCUGGACAAGCUGGAUUAACAAUCCUUAACUCCACCCCUGCUUAGGGAUUUAUGACUCAUUUGUGUCUUCUAUAAUGCACAAGGGAUACCUUGUGAUCUGGGCUUGGAUUGCACACACCAAAAAAAAAGUGCAGCUGUGGGUAUGCAUCUCAGUCUUCCCACUUGUUCCUGAGGCAAUUUCAUAAUAUUCAUAUUUCUUAUUAAUACAUGUUCCAAAGAAGAAGAGAGGAAAUAUGGCUCUGGGAAUUGGCUUGGGGUGUGUUACAAGGAAAGCAGUCAGCCCAUGUGAUAUAUAGGGAAAUAACUGGCCAUAGACUGUCCAAAAACAAAACCAUAAUGGUUUACAAGGCUACAUGAAUAAAAGGAAAAUGACUACCGUGACUUUGCCA